rnacentral:lncRNA from 1 species
UCAGAACUAUGGAAAGAACCAUGUGCGGAGUUUGGCACCACAGAUAUUCUCUGAGUGAUUGAAGUCUCUUCUAUCAUGGUGAGUGGUACCAUGGAAGUAAUCUUGUCCCCAGGCCUCCUAAGCUUACUUAUGAUGAAGUGAUGAGACUCUUACCCAAGAAACCAUUACAGAAAAAAAAUCCUCGCCUAAUAAAAUUGUGGCAGUGAACAAACUCUCAGAUAUAUGGCCAUAUUGACAAGAUCUGCAAUGGUAUCAAAAGAGGUCAAGCUAAUAACCUGAGGAAACAGGAAGAAAACUCCAAUUGUCUUAUACAGAAGGUCUACAAUCAAUAGGAUGAAGUCUAACACUGGCAAGAGUGGGGAGUAAGUCUGUAACUUCUCCUUCACAGUGCAAUUUGUCACGCAGUCUAUGGCACUGUAGAAUUUGGCUAUAGAUCCCUAAGUCAGAAAAGUCCAUGUAUGGAGAACGACUAGUAAGUCAAGACAGAGGAGUGUGACAAAGGCUGACAAAACCCUAUCUGCAGCCUGGAGGUCACAGGCAGCCUGCUUUUUGAGUCUCCCUGAAUGGAGGGGAAG